AGGAUUGAACUCACAAAGAGCAGAAUGAGCUCAGGUCCUUCUGACUCUAAAGCCCCACUGUGCUCAGCUCUGUUUACCUCCUUACCCAGCUUGCACUGAGCUCAGUCUCUUUGUUCUCCCUGCCAAGAGGAAGUGUUCUUCACUCUGCCGACACAAUAGGGCAUCCUUUUGAAUGAAGUCACUGUAAGAAUGUAAUGUUAGACUCCAGCUGCUGCUCAGGCCACAGCACAUGCGGCAGCUUUCCACUUUCACAGAUACAGACAGACACCCCACUGGGACAUUGUCUCCGGGACCCCCUAGCUAACAGGCUUCCAGGUGCAGGAUCUCUCACCUGGAGAAAGGAGAUGCCAUCAAAACUGCUACUGACAGUCACACAGGUCACAGGUCCUCCUCCCCAUCUGCACUGGAUUCAGAGAGCCUGGCUGCUGGCUGGCACUGGCAUGAAACCUACCCAUCCUCAGAAAGGUAUAAGAAGAGACUCUCACUUCUGCCAGGGAUGUUUGAAGUGCCUCUCACAUGUUCCUGGAGCUCCCUCACAUGUCCUGGAGAAGCUUAAUGGAGUCAAACUGCCCAAGCAGAAAGCUCACACAGGUGGCAGUUAGCUGGUAGGAUUUACCCUCUGAUACAAAUCAUUUUUUUUCUAAGGAAGAAAUGAUUUCAAAAUUUGGCAGUUGAAUUAAGAGGUUGAAAGGUAGAGAAAAAAUUCUAGCCCAUUAAAACUAGACAACACUUUGCAGAUAUCUGCUCCAAGCCUGCAUUUUUCCAGGGUGGAAACCAAGUCUCAGUUCUGAUGGUAUUUACGAAGUCACUGGCAAAGCAGAACUGGAAACACCAAGGGGGCCUGGACUAGCCUCUUGGUGACUUUGAGUGAUGCUGCAAGGAUUACGGGGCACCUGCUUUGUCUCUUUCAAGGGCCACCAUGGCACACACUGCUGUCAAGUUUGCAGAUACGAAGCUCUCCAGGAUGCUGUCUUAGCUGCUCACCAUCCUAGCUUUGUAAAGGCAGCCCUCAUUCGCCUGGCUUCCUGGACCCAGGGUUCAUGGACAUGUUCAAGGACAAACUAACAGCAAGCAGCCAUGGCAGGCCUUGGGACCCAGGCCAGCUGUCCUUUGUAAUGUUCUCUUAUGCUACCUCCGUCUCUGGGAGCAAAGAUGAAAAUACAGUGUUCUUUAGGAUAAACAGGCAGUGAUGGGCACAGAGAAAACAAGACAAAUGCGCAUUGGUUCUAGCCACUGACUCUCUGGAGGUCAUUUCUCAAGGCUGAGAUGUGCUGAGCAGUGGCUGUUUCUUCAGACUUUGAGAUUCAAUGUCUUAUGUCAGUGUAAACAUUUUAGAAUGUUCUCUAUGUUUCAGGAAAAAAAAACCUUAUGUACAAUAUCAGUGCAAUGAUUAAAAACCAAAACCAAACCUUAUGCCUUAACUAUAAGGAAAAAAUAAAAGGAAAGUAGUUAGAAACAAA